rnacentral:misc_RNA from 1 species
AGUGAACCAAUAUUCAAAACAGUGAACCGGCUUCUGAAUUUCUACAUCUUUGCAGUUUGCCUGGUUUUCUUUUCAUCCAAUGAUGCUGUCCCAACAUUCAUCCAGGAAAGAUUCAUCUUCAUCAGAGAAACUUCCCACAACGCAUACCGUGCUUCCUCUUAUGUCAUCUCCUCUCUUAUAGUUUAUCUCCCAUUUUUUGCCAUUCAAGGUUUAACCUUUGCUGCCAUAACCAGAUUCCUGCUGCAUCUGAAAAGCAGUCUCUUAAACUUUUGGAUAAUACUCUUCGCUUCUCUAGUUACUACGAAUGCUUAUGUUAUGCUUGUUAGUGCACUUGUCCCCAGUUACAUCACAGGCUAUGCAGUUGUGAUAGCCACCACAGCACUUUUCUUCCUGACUUGUGGGUUCUUCCUGAAGAGGACCCAGAUACCAGUCUACUGGAGGUGGCUGCAUUAUAUAUCUGCAAUCAAAUAUCCAUUUGAAGCUAUGUUAUCAAAUGAGUUCAAGGGAACAAGAUGCUAUAAUGGGGCUCCUGCAGACCUUUCACCUGGUCCUCUAGGAGAUAUCAAACCUAGCAAACUGCAUACUAGUUACACAAAUGGAACGACCUGCCCGUUGAUAGGAGAAGAUAUUCUAACCACAAUGGAUAUUAAGAUGGACAAUCUUUGGUAUGACAUUGCAAUCUUGCUAGCUUGGGGAGUUCUUUACAGGCUCUUCUUCUACGUGGUUCUCAGAUUUUAUUCCAAGAAUGAGAGGAAAUAAAUAUCCUCUUUGCAUUUGCUUCUCUUUCAAAUCCAAGUUUGUCGGCUAAGUGA